ensembl:lncRNA
GGAGGGCGGAGGUAAUCCAGAGGUGACUAAACAAUGUCACACCAAUAAGAGCUCAUUUGAAUGUGAAAAGCAUCGGGCUGAGCUCCGGGACCGACUCCCCACAUCCCAUCUGAAAGGCAAAUACACAGAAAUAACACAACGGAGCUGUGUGACAGACGCGCAUGUCUUCAGAUGCUUCGUCAAUUAAGUGAUUAGUCAGAAAUAAUCAGGAACUUUUGAUAACCAGCUUUUCAUUCAGCAAACACAAACGUUCGCUGCUUUUUCUGCCUCUGCAGGACAACAAGCCGUGCUUCAGGACUGACAGCCUGGUGUGUCUAACAUUUGUUUAGUGAAAUACUUAAAGCCUAGAAUCAAAAAUAUGUUCAUACUCUUGCCUGUAACCCUGUUUUUCGGGUGGGCUGCCCAAUUCUGAGGAGAUGUUUGUUUCCCUUUAAGUCUGAAACGUCUCGUUCCAGAAACAUGAAGCAGUUAUUCAUGAAAAUCCUCUAACGUUGCUGUCAAAGAGGACUGUUCUCUAUCAUCAGGGGUCUCAAACUCCAGACCUCAAGUGUCCUGCAGGUUUUAGAUCUCACCCUGGGUCAACACACCUGAAUCACAUGACCAGUUCAUUACCAGGCCUCUGGAGAACUUCAGACAUGUUGAGGAGGUCAUUUAGCCGUUUAAAUCAGCUGUGAAGUAUCGAGGACACAUCUAAACCCUGCAGGACUCCGGCCCUCUUGGCCUGGAGUUCAACAACCCUGAUAUACAUCUACCGGUACUACCUGAAGGAAGCUCAGCCAAGGCGGACGUUCACGUCGUGCCACAGACGGGGGCUGGGCAGCACACUGAUACUGUCGGUUGGUGUCGACACUAAAGAAAAUAUUACGUUUGUAGAUUUUUGAGGGGCAGGGUCAUGAGCUGAACAUUUCUCUCUCUGAUUGUUUUGUUUUUUUCAGGUUUUAUUCUUUGUUAUUAUUGUUUAAUUUAUUUAUUUGAUUAAAAUCAGGAGGAGGCAGAAAUCACCUUUCUGUUUUGUAAACAUCAGCCUUCAUUUUAAAUGCUUCACCUCAGCCCAUGAGCCCUCAGCCCCUUAGGUUACAAAUUAUACUAAAAAAUAAUUGGUUCAUAUGAACUUUGACCUUUGAGCUCUGCACAGUCAGCAAAGUUGGUGGGAUUUCUCCUUGGGGAUCAAGAUGAAGGCACUCCAUCAGAGCCUGGACUGACAGACUGAGCCUGGCUAAAACAUUUCACCCAGAAAUCACAACCUUGUUUUUUCAAAGCCUACGGUGUCUCCAUUAACGGGGGGGGGUGGAUGCUUCUGCCUUUGCUGCAGCGUGGUUCUUUCAUGGUGGAGGCUGAUAAGGCAGGAGAGUUUUCAUGGUGAAGCAUCGCCUGGAGCUGUUUUACAGGCAUGUCGCUGGUGUGGAGGCAGAAAGAGGAUCCACACAAACAGAAUGGCAGAACAAAAGUAAUGAAGGAGGAAAAGCUGCAAACAGAGAGGAAAAACAAAGCAAAGGCAGAAGAAGACGGUGGGUGGUGGGAGGCCUGUCAGCGGAGGAGCUUUGUAGUCGGUCAGAAACCUCCUCGUGAUUAUUGAGUUAUUCAUCUCUCCACUUCCACGGGGAAAUCCCAGUCUGCUAAGAUGUGAACACAAAGACAGCUUAACACUGACGUGUGUGUGUGUGUGUGUGUUGCUACAUCCUUCGAGUUGAGGUCAUCCCUGUAAAUGACAGAGCUGAUGGUGACAUCAUCUGUGCAUCAUAAAGCUGACAAAUGCACAGCAGCUGAGUCAUGACUGACAGGAAGAAAAACACUUCAUGUUUCAGAAAUCAUUUAAACACUUGGGUUCAGUUUUUUCUACUCUUGGAUCUGUAUGAUGUCAUAAACAGGGGACAACCCUAAUAUGUUCUGGCACAGAGCCAAUCAGAACGAAGUGAUCUGAAAGGGGGAGGAGCUACAACAGAUCCUCCACCUUUCCCUCUGAGGAUGAACUGAGCGAGGCCUGCUAUAAGACUGAUCAAUGUGAUUAGUGUGAACUGUGACUCAGAGCUAUAGAGUAAAAAUAUGCAGCUGAAAACAGUCAUAGUUUCGUCACUGAUGCUGAUUUGAAUCUGUUUCGGUGGCUGUCACCGCACACAGUGUGAAACAUUAGCACAUCAAGAAAAUGAAGCCAGUGGAGAUGGGCCUUAAAUUUGGUCUGCAGGCCUCAGGUGGUGUUACCUGUGGCUGUGAGCUCAGGGAACACUGACCUGAUGAGUUUGAGGUCUGAGUCGCUCUUUCUGGCUCUUAUUAAAGUUUGCUUGGUCAGACCUGGCCGUCCUCGUCCCAUCAGUUUGUUGCUUGUCUUAAAAAAGAUGGUGGAGGUGAAAACAACGGCUCCCGGGCCUGGCAGAUCCCCAUCUACUAAACAGAAGUGAAGAAGUUAAAGAAUUGAAAAGGGGAGUAAGGGUGGGGAACGCAAACGAGAACGAACAGCUCGUGGAACUGAGGGAACAUCACUUUCAGAUCUCUCUUUUUUUCCCAGUAACAUAUUUUUUCUUUUCUUUUGUUUUAAUUUGUUGUAAUUUUCAGCAAAUCUGUUUGUGCUCUGCAUGUUGGGAAAGAGAGAAAUGACCUCUCUGCUCACUCAGUCACAAAGGGUUUUGUGGAAGUGCCUGCCACACUCGGUGCUCAUCGUCUACCGAAGGACAUUUGCACUUGAGUACUUUGUGCCUGGUUGCAUGUGAAGAAACUUUACAAAUCUGUAAUCUGUUAAGCUGCUUGGAGAAGAGCCAAAGCCUCUUCAUGAGAAAUGUUGAGUCACUGCGGUUCAGAGGAAUAAACCCACAUGCUGACUGUCACAUCUGCUCUGCACCAACAUCUAAAGAUCAGAUUAAACUAAAGUCAUCAGAUGACCUUUUUGCACUUAUUCAAUUAAAAAAUGACUUGUUGUUGUACACUGAUGUCACAGACGGCCAUUACAGGAAGAGAGCAGUGCAGAAAUGUCAAUUAGGAAAGAGUUUAUUUUAAAUUAAACAAGCAAUUUAAAAUGUUUCUUAAUUUAUGGUGUGUGCAGUACUGUCAAUGCUGAAUGCAAUGGGAUUUAGUGCAAGACAAUAAACCAAGGAGCAAACAAAGUCCAAAAGAGGAGCUCAAAGAGGAGCUCUAAGGACUUUUCUAGAGCACUGGAUGCUGGGCUCAGGUGUUACCAGUGAUGCUGAGUGUUAACAAGCCACGCCUCCUCUCUAACACCUGCAGAAAGGAGCUGUAACACAGACAAGAGGAAAGUAGAGCGAGUUGUAAAAAGUGAUCUUCUUAAAGUAAAGCCAGCUCUAAAUGUUUUGGCUUUGACUCUACUAAAGUAGCUUUGAUUGAAAAUUCAAAAUAAUCUUUCUUUAUCUUAUACAGAGCCUCAGUUCAUCCUAACCCCCUAACCCUAACCCUUUUAGCUCCUCCCCCUUCGAGUCAAAUUUCUUCUGAUUGGGUACAACCCAUUAAAAGUAAGAGGCCUGAAGAGCAGGCGGGUCCACUGUGCCUGAGAUGACCAUAUAUCAAACUUCAGCUGUACAGUUAUAACAUGCAAGUCUAUGGGACGGACUCACAGCUGGAGUCUGCCUCCAGUGGCUGUUAAAGGAACUGCAGCUUGAAUUUGGUUCAUUUUUUCAGUCUUCAGGUUUCCUCUCAGAUGCUAACAGGAAGUUUACCCACACUUUGACAAAUAAUUAUGACAGAAGAAUCUAAAGAUUCAAAAUGCUUUGUAGCGUUUUGUGAUGUGUGUGGAGUUUUAGAGUCUGCUGUGGACAUUUCAAAAAAAUCCAGUUUUCGGUUCCUGACAUUGACGUUUGUGUUGAUGCUGUUACACUAGGUUUAGAUUAAAUUAUGGAAAGUUCGUAUGCUGAUUAUUUUUUCAUUCUUCAUUCAAGAUAGUGAUCCUUACCUCACCUUUAGAAGAUAACAUUUUCUGCGAGGCAGAUUUGUUCAUUAACAGCUUUCUUUGUAAUCCGGGUGCAUUAUGCUUCAUUAAAAACAUAUUUGCUUUUGCACAUGAACAGUAUAUAAAUGUCAUUUCUCAGAGAAAGGAUGUCUGAUACAUAUCAUCCCCCCUGCUAUUCACACAGAGACAGCAGCACGUUUAACUCAGUGGUGCUUCAUUAAAAUGACACUUCAUCACAUAUUCAUGAGGACUGAUGUGAAGGACAUCAGCAGCUCGAUCUGCAGACUGUCGCACACACUUAGCAGAGUUCACCUAUAGACUGUCUGCUCUGUGGUAUGUGUGUGUGUGUGUGUGUGUGUGUGUGUGUGUGUGUGGAUGGAGUAGUAAAUGUGAGAUGUGUAAUGAAUAAUGAAUUUAGGGUGAAUUUAGGUCAUGCGGGCGAAUAGGAGGGACAACAUGGGAAUAGCUCUUUCUUUCCUCAUCUCCGUACACCUGUGUGUGUGUGUGUGUGUGUGUGUGUGUGUGUGUGUGUGUGUGUGUGCGUGUGUGUGUGUGUGUGUGUGUGUGUGUGUGUGUGUGUGUGUGUGUGUGUGUGUGUGUGUGUGUGUGUGUUUAAGUG